rnacentral:rRNA from 1 species
CCUACGGGAGGCAGCAGUGGGGAAUAUUGGACAAUGGGGGCAACCCUGAUCCAGCCAUGCCGCGUGUGUGAAGAAGGCCCUCGGGUUGUAAAGCACUUUCAGUGAGGAAGAACGCCUGGUGGUUAAUACCCAUCAGGAAAGACAUCACUCACAGAAGAAGCACCGGCUAACUCCGUGCCAGCAGCCGCGGUAAUACGGAGGGUGCGAGCGUUAAUCGGAAUUACUGGGCGUAAAGCGCGCGUAGGUGGCUUGAUAAGCCGGUUGUGAAAGCCCCGGGCUCAACCUGGGAACGACAUCCGGAACUGUCAAGCUAGAGUGCAGGAGAGGAAGGUAGAAUUCCCGGUGUAGCGGUGAAAUGCGUAGAGAUCGGGAGGAAUACCAGUGGCGAAGGCGGCCUUCUGGACUGACACUGACACUGAGGUGCGAAAGCGUGGGUAGCAAACAGGAUUAGAUACCCCGGUAGUC